rnacentral:rRNA from 1 species
GAUGAACGCUGGCGGCGUGCCUAAUACAUGCAAGUCGAGCGAACGGACGAGAAGCUUGCUUUUCUGAUGUUAGCGGCGGACGGGUGAGUAACACGUGGAUAACCUACCUAUAAGACUGGGAUAACUUCGGGAAACCGGAGCUAAUACCGGAUAAUAUUUUGAACCGCAUGGUUCAAUAGUGAAAGACGGUCUUGCUGUCACUUAUAGAUGGAUCCGCGCUGCAUUAGCUAGUUGGUAAGGUAACGGCUUACCAAGGCAACGAUGCAUAGCCGACCUGUGAGGGUGAUCGGCGACACUGGAACUGAGACACGGACCAGACUCCUACGGGAGGCAGCAGUAGGGAAUCGUCCGCAAUGGGCGAAAGCCUGACGGAGCAACGCCGCGUGAGUGAUGAAGGUCUUCGGAUCGUAAAACUCGGUUAUUAGGGAAGAACAUAUGUGUAAGUAACUGUGCACAUCUUGACGGUACCUAAUCAGAAAGCCACGGCUAACUACGUG